GUCUUUUUGUGUAUUAAUUUAAAGUCUAAUCUGCCCAUUGAUUGUAAUUUAACGGCUGCGGUAUAUUGACCGUACAAAGGUAGCGUGAUAAUUAGUUUUUUAAUUGAAAGCUGGUAUGAAAGAUUGGACGAGGAAUUUACUGUUUCAAUAUAUUUUUAUAAUUUUAUUUUUAAGUUAAAAAGCUUAAAUUUUUUCAUGGGACGAGAAGACCCUAUAGAGUUUAAUAUUCUUAAUUUUUUUUAGUAUUCCUAAUUUAUAAGAAUAUUUAGUUGGGGUGACUUAAAAAUUUAAUAAACUUUUUAUUUUGAAACAUUGAUUUUUGGAUUUUUGAUCUAUUUUAAUAAUUAAAGAUAAAAUUACCUUAGGGAUAACAGCGUUAUUUCUUAAAGAGUUCUUAUCAGAUAAGAAGUUUGCGACCUCGAUGUUGGAUUAAAAUUAAUAUUUGGUGCAGUAGCUGAUAUAUUAAGUCUGUUCGACUUUUAAAAUUUUACA
rnacentral:rRNA from 1 species